rnacentral:rRNA from 1 species
GUGCCAGCAGCCGCGGUAAUACGUAGGGUGCAAGCGUUAUCCGGAAUUAUUGGGCGUAAAGAGCUCGUAGGCGGUUUGUCGCGUCUGCUGUGAAAACUAGAGGCUCAACCUCUAGCUUGCAGUGGGUACGGGCAGACUAGAGUGCGGUAGGGGAGAUUGGAAUUCCUGGUGUAGCGGUGGAAUGCGCAGAUAUCAGGAGGAACACCGAUGGCGAAGGCAGAUCUCUGGGCCGUAACUGACGCUGAGGAGCGAAAGAGUGGGGAGCAAACAGGCUUAGAUACCCUGGUAGUCCACUCCGUAAACGUUGGGAACUAGUUGUGGGGGCCUUUCUACGGUCUCCGUGACGCAGCUAACGCAUUAAGUUCCCCGCCUGGGGAGUACGGCCGCAAGGCUAAAACUCAAAGGAAUUGACGGGGACCCGCACAAGCGGCGGAGCAUGCGGAUUAAUUCGAUGCAACGCGAAGAACCUUACCAAGGCUUGACAUAUACCGGAAACGGCUGGAAACAGUCGCCCCCUUGUGGUCGGUAUACAGGUGGUGCAUGGUUGUCGUCAGCUCGUGUCGUGAGAUGUUGGGUUAAGUCCCGCAACGAGCGCAACCCUCGUUCUAUGUUGCCAGCACGUUAUGGUGGGAACUCAUGGAAUACUGCCGGGGUCAACUCGGAGGAAGGUGGGGACGACGUCAAAUCAUCAUGCCCCUUAUGUCUUGGGCUUCAAGCAUGCUACAAUGGUCGGUACAAUGGGUUGCGAAACUGUGAGGUGGAGCGAAUCCCAAAAAGCCGGCCCCAGUUCGGAUUGGGGUCUGCAACUCGACCCCAUGAAGUCGGAGUCGCUAGUAAUCGCAGAUCAGCAACGCUGCGGUGAAUACGUUCCCGGGCCUUGUACACACCGCCCGU